rnacentral:lncRNA from 1 species
GAAUGUGAGUUUGAGGCUGGAAAGAAAAAUUGAGGUAGCAUUCAUAUGGCAACUUCAUAUGACUUGAUGACGUGAGAUUCAACUGUUCUCCUUAGUGUGUUCUCUCUGCAAUUCCAGACCCCAUGAAAUAAAUCUCUGAAGCUUGCUUGUCUCCCAAACACUGUGUAAACCCACUGAAAACUUAAGUAAUGGAGUAAACAGCUUUCUGCGGCUUCCUGCUUUUACUGCUUCAGUAUUCAAAUUCUUUCCUUUGCCAA